rnacentral:lncRNA from 1 species
CAUCGUUAUUAUUUAACUCUUGUUGGAUUUUUACUUCAAUCCAUGUUAAAGAAAUUAGAAGAAAAAAUAAUGGAAAAAGGGAAAUAAAAUUAUCACUUGCUAUUAAGAAUAUUUAUGAAAGAAUUAAUAGAAUUCAUGAAAAUUUAGUGGAGUACCUAGUUGAAUUAUACCAAUACUUCUAUAAAUAAACUUCCCAGUUAGAUGAUAUAAUGAAAAAGAUACACUAUUCCCAGCAGCAACUAAAAAGUACUUAUAUCAAAUACAACUUGAAAUAAUGAAGAGACCAUCUUUUUAAAUGUAAGAAAUAUGUAGAUGUCAGUUAUUUUUAAAUUAAGAUUUAAGGCCAGGUGUGAGCCACCACGUCUGGCCAUAAGUAUCCUACAAUUAGUUUCGUUAGGAUAGCAUGAUAUCAUAAGAUUAGUCAGACUGAAAAUGAUAUAGAAGAGAUAGCCCAAAAACAGACAUUAUUUUUUAAGAAUUUGAUAUAUUUAUCAAUGGCAAAUGAAAGGAAUUCACUAUUUAGAGAAAGAUAAAGAGGUGGGCAUGGUGGCUUAUGCCUGUAAUCCCAGCAC